ACAAUAGCUCAGUUGGUUAGAGUGUGGCGCUGAGAACACCAAGGUUGCAGGUUCGAUCCCGGUACAUACAGCUGUG